UGCUUGCUGCCUUGGGGGGCUGUGGGAUUUCCAGGGAGAGUUGGAUGGGAGCUGGGCCUGAGCCAGGGGAUGGGUAAUGUGGCCCCGCGACCUUUCUGCAGUAAUAUUGUUGGGUGUCAACCUAGGAAGGACGGACCCCGCUGGGCUGACUCACAGGGUCCCAACCUGGGGUCCCACGAGGGGAUUGUAACCCCCCGGCCUCCCCUUCAGGGCUGCUGAGAGAACCUUGAAAGCGUGAGUGGAGCAUGAACUGAGGCCUCCAUCUGCAGCCAGCCAGCCUGCAGCAAUAGCUCCAUUAGAGGGUUUCAGGGAACUCUGCAGGUGACUCAGCAGGUGACCCGGCCAGGAAGGGAAACCAGAUCCGGAUGCAGCCUGUGGAUGACGCACAUUCUGCCCUCUUCACACCGAGGAUUUCAUGGCCUUCCAUGGACACGUCCUGAGUGAAUGGGACCCUGCUUGCCCCUUCUGGACCCUCAGCAGAUGCCCAGGGGAAUCGCAUGGAGAGUGCACAGUCUCUCAAAGGUGAUGAAAUAUUCAGCAAUAUCACUGGAUUCAUCAUCCUGCGGCCAGAAUUGUUCCCAUUUGUGGAUUUUGGGGGAAGCACAGCCAGCUGCUGAAGGUUUCUGUCUCUUCCACUCCAUUACAGCCAGUUCAUGCUUCUGGGUCUCAAUUUGGGCCUCUAUUUCUCUGUCUUUUAACUCCAGGGCUAGCUGCCUCUCUCUUUCCUUCUCCUCCUGAGCAUAUUGCAUCUCUCUUUCCUUCUCCUCCUGGGCAGCUUCUGUGCCUCAAUUUCUUUGUCUUUUAAGUCCAUUGUUCUUUUGUGAGCAGCUUCCUCCCUGGCUGCCUCUGCUUCUUUUUAGCCUCAUUUGAAACUCACGGGCCUUUGCCUUCUGUUCCGCUUCCACUCUGGCCAGCUCUAGUUUUCUAGCUGCCUCACUGGUAGUCAUUUUCCUGAUUUUUUGUGUUAAUUUCACUUACCAGAAAUAAACAAACAGAAAAUAAUAAACCAGUAACCACUUUCUUUGUUCUCCAGCCACCACACUCAAAACUCACUUAAUAUCACUACCAGUAUCUCAAAGCAAUCAGCUGUGCAUAGAUCCUGCCGACUACGCCACUGUGAUGGGUUCGGUCACAGAGACCCCCUUGGGACUGUCUCCUGAUGUGCUGAGACUACCUCUGAGCCCGUUUUCUCUGCCAGUUUGGGCCUCCAGAACCCUGCCUUCUUGAGCCAGACACGCUACCCUGCUGCAACACAGACCCAGGAUCUGAAUCACGCCCCCAAAGCUGCAGACUUAACUGAAAACAGAUUAAGAAGCGCUCCUGUCUCCAGCACCCAGACAUCCAGCUACCAAUGGGAUCCAAACCCCAAAUAAAUCUGUUUUACUCUGUAUAAAGUUUAUACAAGAUAAACUCAUAAAUUGUCUACCCUCUGUAACACUGAUAGAGACAUAUGCACCGCUGUUUGCUCCCCCAAGUAUUAAUCACUUACUCUGGGUUAAUUAAUAAACAAAGUUUCAGAGUAACAGCCGUGUUAGUCUGUAUCCGCAAAAAGAAGAACAGGAGUACUUGUGGCACCUUAGAGACUAACAAAUGUAUUAGAGCAUAAGCUUUCGUGGACUACAGCCCACUUCUUCGGAUGCAUAUAGAAUGGAACAUAUAAUGAGGAGAUAUAUAUACACACAUACAGAGAGC